GAUGGAUAUUAUGCCAAAUUGCAAUGCCAGACUUUACAAUGUAAAAUGGAAAUGUUAUAUAUAUAUUUUCUAGCUACCAUUUCAGAGCAUUUGGAAGCUGAAUUACUUUCUUAUUGAAAAUGACUUAAGUCUUUAAUUGACUUAUAAGUGUGUGUGUAUUUAUAUGUUCAUAUUUCCCCCCCUCUAGAACUGGGUAGAUAAAGCUGAAAAACAGGCUCUUCUCUCUGAAACACUUGACCUAUCAGAACUUUUCCAUCCAGACACAUUUCUUAAUGCUCUUCGCCAGGAAACUGCAAGGGCAGUGGGUCGUUCUGUGGAUAGCCUUAAAUUUGUAGCCUCAUGGAAAGGUCGACUGCAAGAAGCAAAGCUACAAAUUAAGAUCAGUGGCUUGUUACUAGAAGGAUGUAGUUUUGAUGGAAAUCAACUUUCUGAAAAUCAGCUUGAUUCUCCCAGCGUGUCAUCAGUGCUCCCUUGUUUUAUGGGCUGGAUUCCACAGGAUGCAUGUGGUCCAUAUUCUCCGGAUGAGUGCAUCUCUUUGCCUGUUUACACAAGUGCUGAAAGGGAUCGUGUGGUUACCAAUAUUGAUGUUCCAUGUGGGGGCAACCAAGACCAGUGGAUUCAGUGUGGAGCAGCUCUAUUCCUAAAAAAUCAGUAGAAUCUAAUGACAACAAAAGCCAUCUUCACAAAAGGGAACAUUGAUUCUUUAAGCUUUAAAUCAAACAUGUGGUCAGUCUACAUUUGAAAUGUUAGUUCAAAAUAUUAACAUAUAGUUAUGUUGUUGAUGUCACUGAAAUUUUAAUGUGUAAAAGCAGCACUGUGCAUCUUUUAAAGUAAUAAAU
rnacentral:lncRNA from 1 species